UAGAACUUGUUACUCCUUGCAUUUUCU
rnacentral:piRNA from 1 species